CCUACGGGGGGCAGCAGUGGGGAAUAUUGCGCAAUGGGCGAAAGCCUGACGCAGCGACGCCGCGUGAGGGAUGAAGGUCUUCGGAUCGUAAACCUCUGUCAGCAGGGAAGAACGGUCACUGUGCUAAUCAGCAGUGAAUUGACGGUACCUGCAAAGGAAGCACCGGCUAACUCCGUGCCAGCAGCCGCGGUAAUACGGAGGGUGCGAGCGUUAAUCGGAAGUACUGGGCGUAAAGCGAUCAUAGGCGGUAUGUCAAGUCAAGGGUGAAAUCCCCGCGCUCAACGUGGGAAUUGACUUUGAAACUGGCAAACUGGAGUGUGUGAGAGGAUAGUGGAAUUCCAGGUGUAGGAGUGAAAUCCGUAGAUAUCUGGAGGAACAUCAGUGGCGAAGGCGACUAUCUGGCACAUAACUGACGCUGAGGAGCGAAAGCGUGGGUAGCAAACAGGAUUAGAUACCCGAGUAGUC
rnacentral:rRNA from 1 species